rnacentral:rRNA from 1 species
AGCAGCCGCGGUAAUUCCAGCUCCAAUAGCGUAUAUUAAAGUUGUUGCAGUUAAAAAGCUCGUAGUUGAAUUUCGGGAUCGAAUUGUUGGUCGUGCUUCGGUACGCACUGGCAUUAUCGGUUCCUACCUUCUGAAGAGCCGCGAUGUCAUUAAUUUGGUGUCGUGGGGAAUCAGGACUGUUACCUUGAAAAAAUUAGAGUGUUUAAAGCAGGCUUACGCUUGAAUACAUUAGCAUGGAAUAAUGAAAUAGGACGUUUGAUUCUAUUUUGUUGGUUUCUAGGAUCGACGUAAUGAUUAAUAGGGAUAGUUGGGGGCAUUAGUAUUCAAUUGUCAGAGGUGAAAUUCUUGGAUUUAUUGAAGACUAACUACUGCGAAAGCAUUUGCCAAGGAUGUUUUCAUUAAUCAAGAACGAAAGUUAGGGGAUCGAAGACGAUCAGAUACCGUCGUAGUCUUAACCAUAAACUAUGCCGACUAGGGAUCGGAUGAUGUUAAUUUUAUAAUGACUC